GAUGAAGAACGAAGCGAAAUGCGAUACGUAAUGUGAAUUGCAGAAUUCAGUGAAUCAUCGAGUCUUUGAACGCACAUUGCGCCCCCUGGUAUUCCGGGGGCAUGCCUGUCCGAGCGUCAUUGCUGCCCUCAAGCACGGCUUGUGUGUUGGGCCUCCGUCCUCCUCCCGGGGGACGGGCCCGAAAGGCAGCGGCGGCACCGCGUCCGGUCCUCGAGCGUAUGGGGCUUCGUCACCCGCUCUUGUAGGCCCGGCCGGCGCUUGCCGACACAUCAAUCUUUUUUCCAGGUUGACCUCGGAUCAGGUAGGGAUACCCGCUGAACUUAAGCAUAUCAAUAAGCGGAGGA
rnacentral:misc_RNA from 1 species